rnacentral:rRNA from 1 species
UACGUAGGGUGCAAGCGUUGUCCGGAAUUAUUGGGCGUAAAGAGCUCGUAGGCGGUCUGUUACGUCCGCUGUGAAAACCCAGGGCUUAACCCUGGGCUUGCAGUGGAUACGGGUAGACUAGAGGCAGGUAGGGGAGAAUGGAAUUCCCGGUGUAGCGGUGAAAUGCGCAGAUAUCGGGAGGAACACCGAUGGCGAAGGCAGGUCUCUGGGCAUUAACUGACGCUGAGGAGCGAAAGCAUGGGGAGCGAACAGG